AUUGAACGCUGGCGGCAUGCUUUACACAUGCAAGUCGAACGGUAACAGGCCUUCGGGUGCUGACGAGUGGCGAACGGGUGAGUAAUGCAUCGGAACGUGCCCAGUCGUGGGGGAUAACGCAGCGAAAGCUGUGCUAAUACCGCAUACGAUCUGUGGAUGAAAGCGGGGGACCUUUGGGCCUCGCGCGAUUGGAGCGGCCGAUGUCAGAUUAGGUAGUUGGUGGGGUAAAGGCUCACCAAGCCAACGAUCUGUAGCUGGUCUGAGAGGACGACCAGCCACACUGGGACUGAGACACGACCCAGACUCCUACGGGAGGCAGCAGUGGGGAAUUUUGGACAAUGGGGGAAACCCUGAUCCAGCAAUGCCGCGUGCAGGAAGAAGGCCUUCGGGUUGUAAACUGCUUUUGUACGGAGCGAAAAGGCUUCCUCUAAUACAGGGGGCUCAUGACGGUACCGUAAGAAUAAGCACCGGCUAACUACGUGCCAGCAGCCGCGGUAAAAC
rnacentral:rRNA from 1 species